ACCAGCAGCCAUGACCCUGCAACUCACAACUGGCAGCCCACUGAAACUCUGCAGGUGUGAGCCUGGUCAGUACCUGGAUGGGAGACCUCCAGGGAAAAACAAAGGUUGCUGCUGGAA
rnacentral:rRNA from 1 species